UCCCCAGCUGUUGCUGGACUACCACCCUCAUCAUCUCUAGCUAGCAGGACCAGUGGGCAGGGAUGAUGGGAGUUGUAGUCCAGCAACAGCUGGGGA